rnacentral:lncRNA from 1 species
UCUAUGGGUUGUGUUUUGGUUUUUGUUUUGUUCGUCGCUUUUUGGAAGUUUUAACGUAAAUUUGAAUAGUCAUACAAGCUAACAAAUUAGAACUCGUUUUGUAAAAAUUAGAACUCGAAAAUUUUUUGCUGCGAGUUAAGUAAACCCUUAAGUGUUUUUUUUUUGUUUUUUUUUUGUAAAUAGAUAAAUAGUUUUUAACUAAUGUUAGC